UACGUAGGGUGCAAGCGUUAAUCGGAAUUACUGGGCGUAAAGCGUGCGCAGGCGGUUUUGUAAGUCAGAUGUGAAAUCCCCGGGCUUAACCUGGGAACUGCGUUUGAAACUACAAGGCUAGAGUGUGGCAGAGGGGGGUGGAAUUCCACGUGUAGCAGUGAAAUGCGUAGAGAUGCGGAGGAACACCGAUGGCGAAGGCAGCCCCCUGGGUUGACACUGACGCUCAGGCACGAAAGCGUGGGGAGCAAACAGG
rnacentral:rRNA from 1 species